rnacentral:rRNA from 1 species
AACGUAGGUACCGAGCGUUAUCCGGAUUUACUGGGCGUAAAGCGCGUUCAGGCGGUCGGGCAAGUCGGGCAUGAAAGUUCUCGGCUCAACCGGGAGAGGUUGUCCGAUACUGGCUGACUGGAGGGCAGUAGAGGGUGGUGGAAUUCCGGGUGUAGUGGUGAAAUGCGUAGAUAUCCGGAGGAACACCAGUGGCGAAAGCGGCCACCUGGACUGUACCUGACGCUCAAACGCGAAAGCUAGGGGAGCGAACGGG